rnacentral:rRNA from 1 species
CCCUUAGAUGUUCUGGGCCGCACGCGUGCUACACUGAGUGGAUCAGCGGGUCAGGUUGCGCGAAAGUGUUUCCUAAUCUUGAAAUCCGCUCGUGAUGGGGAUUGACGGUUGCAAUUUUCCGUCAUGAACGAGGAAUACCUUGUAAGCGCGGGUCAUCAUCCCGCGCUGAAUACGUCCCUGCCCUUUGUACACACCGCCCGUCGCUCCUACCGAUUGAGUGGUCCGGUGAGGCUUUGGGAUCUAAGCGGAAAGAGCGUUUCGCUGUUUCUGCUCGGAAAACUCAGUCGAACCUUAUCAUUUAGAGGAAGGAGAAGUCGUAACA